GACGAACGCUGGCGGCGUGCUUAACACAUGCAAGUCGAACGGAAAGGCCCUGCUUUUGUUGGUUGCUCGAGUGGCGAACGGGUGAGUAACACGUGAGUAACCUGCCCUUGACUUUGGGAUAACUUCUGGAAACUGCUGCUAAUACCGCAUAGGAGCUCCUGCUGCAUGGUGGGGGUUGGAAAGUUGCCGCGGUUGGUUAUGGACUCGCGGCUUCUCAGCUUGUUGGUGGGGUAGUGGCAUGCCAAAGCUUGGACGGGCAGUCGGCCUGGGAGGGUGACCGGCCACAUUGGGACGGAGAUACGGCCCAGACUCGUACGGGAGGCAGCAGUGGGGAAGAUUGCACAAUAGGCGGAAGCCAGAUGCAGCAACGCCGCGUGCGGGAUAACGGCCUUCGGGUUGUAAACCGCUUUCGCCUGUGACGAAGAGUGAGUGACGGUAAUGAGUAAAGAAGCACCGGCUAACUACGUG
rnacentral:rRNA from 1 species